rnacentral:lncRNA from 10 species
AGCCCUCAGCGUACAUGCCAGCUAAUUACAGAUGCAGGAGCAAACCCCUGGCCCAUACAUCAAUUUUAAUGUCAUUGAAUACAGAGAACAAAUCUCAUUCACUUUGGUAUCGGCUGGAGUCAACAAACAUUUAAAAAUCAUUUACUGCGUCUGAUUUUGGAUGAGGAAAUUAACUGAGAAAGAAGAUACAAGACCUGCCAAAUUCUUUUUUUUUGUUUUGUUUGAGACAGAGUCUCACUCUGUCGCCCAGGCUGUAGUGGCGCGAUCUCGACUCACUGCAACCUCCACCUCCUCGGUUCAAGCGAUUCUCCUGCCUCAGCCUCCUGAGUAGCUGGGCUUACAGGCAUGCGCCACCAUGCCCAGCUAAUUUUUGUAUUUUUAAUAGAGACGGGGUUUUGCCACACUGGCCAGGCUAGUCUCGAACCCCUGACCUCAGGUGAUCUACCCACCUUGGCCUCCCAAAGUGCUGGGAUUACAGAAGUGAGCCACUGUGCCCAGCCUGACCUGUCAAAUUCCUGUCAAACUCAACUUCAUGUAACACUGAACUGUAACUAUCAAGUUAGAAUAUUUUUUUCAUUUGUUUGCAUAUAUAUAGACUUCAUUAAUCUUAAUUUAGUGAUCUCAGUUAAGAAGCAAUCUGAAAUAUGUUUUGCUUUCACUUUUGGAAAAAAGUCUGAAAUAGAAGUAAAUA